AUUGAACGCUGGCGGCAUGCCUUACACAUGCAAGUCGAACGGUAACAGGUCUUCGGAUGCUGACGAGUGGCGAACGGGUGAGUAAUACAUCGGAACGUGCCCGAGAGGGGGGGAUAACGAGGCGAAAGCUUUGCUAAUACCGCAUACGAUCUCAGGAUGAAAGCAGGGGACCGCCAGGCCUUGCGCCCACGGAGCGGCCGAUGGCAGAUUAGGUAGUUGGUGGGAUAAAAGCUUACCAAGCCGACGAGCUGUAGCUGGUCUGAGAGGACGACCAGCCACACUGGGACUGAGACACGGCCCAGACUCCUACGGGAGGCAGCAGUGGGGAAUUUUGGACAAUGGGCGCAAGCCUGAUCCAGCCAUGCCGCGUGCAGGAUGAAGGCCUUCGGGUUGUAAACUGCUUUUGUACGGAACGAAAAGACUCCUUCUAAUAAAGGGGGUUCAUGACGGUACCGUAAGAAUAAGCACCGGCUAACUACGUGCCAGCAGCCGCCGCGGUAA
rnacentral:rRNA from 1 species